rnacentral:lncRNA from 1 species
UGGCUAAGGGUCUUGACCAGUGGGGCACUGAAGAAGCGAGCCACACCUCCAUCGUACGCCCUGCGAGGAGGAAAUUGCCACAGUCACCUCAACCUUCAGCAACCACCAACUUGAUCAAUCAGCAGCCAAUAACGUGAAGUCAUGACCAUUCACCAGCAAAAAGUUUAUGAUUCACCAAAAUAUUAGAUGAUCAUUAACAUUUUUAGCAAUAAUGUAUUUGUCAUUAAGGUGUUAGUGCAUUGGAAAAUCAUUUAAAGAAUGUAUCAGCUAAUUGAAGGCUUAUGUAAGCUGAAGUUCCUGUAUCUGCCUACGAUCCAGACCCACCAAGGAGGACGACAGUGUUUUUCUUUUCUUCCCCUCCACGUUAUCUCAUUAUCUGUAGCAGAAAAGAAGACCAAGAUGUGGCUACACCCGAGCAGACCUUUUUCCAUGUAUAAAGACUGUCUCAAAGGAUCAUUUAAAUUUCACGAACUAUUUACAAGUUAAUAGUUUGAUUGUUCCUGGACCCAAUUAUUCUCCCUAUCAAUCAUUUAAAAUCAAUUUUAACAUUGUGGUAGUAGAAUUUUUUCCUUUAACUGAUAUUAUAUUAAAACAUUCCACAAUUGAACACGUAUUAACUCUUAAGUAUGUAUAGCCUCCCGUGACCAUUUGUGUAUGAAAUCCAUUCAAACCAUACAAUAUCACAAUCUAAAUCUUUUUACUUACAGUCAUGUUAUAAUACUCUGGAUUUAAGUCUUACUUUUUAUGGUUUACAUAUCAUACUCUGUAGAAUAGCUAAGCAUAUUAUUAGAAAUGAGACUUUUGUGCAAUUUUCACCCACAUUCGAUUUAUAGACAAACUGAUAUUCUUUUCACACAGCAAAAGAAUUCAGCCUGGCAUCUUUAGGAAAUGAAAAACUGGUUGCCAGAGGGAAGGAACCUAAAUUUUUUCAAUGUGGUUAUUAUAUAUAUUGUAGGCCAGGCCUUUUUCCCAAGUAAGGAGAAGGGGAGACUCAUAUAUAUAUAUUUUUAUUUUUAAUAAAAAUUUGACUUGGGAAAUUUAUGAAUUUAUUUUAGUGA